rnacentral:rRNA from 1 species
CAGCCGCCGCGGUAAUACGGAGGGGGCUAGCGUUGUUCGGAAUUACUGGGCGUAAAGCGCACGUAGGCGGCUUUACAGGCCAGAGGUGAAAGCCUGGAGCUCAACUCCAGAAUUGCCUUUGAGACUGUAUCGCUUGAACACGGGAGAGGUGAGUGGAAUUCCGAGUGUAGAGGUGAAAUUCGUAGAUAUUCGGAAGAACACCAGUGGCGAAGGCGGCUCACUGGACCGUUGUUGACGCUGAGGUGCGAAAGCGUGGGGAGCAAACAGGAUUAGAUACCCCAGUAGUCCCUGUUUCUUAUAC